AGAGUAAAAGAGGAGAAAAAGAGAGAGAGACACAGAGAGAGACUGGGGGAGAAGUAGGGGGAGACACAUGGAUGGAACUGAUGCACAGAUAACUGAACUAGAACUGUGAAAAGUAGAUCAGCCGGUGUUAAUAUAAUUACAAAAACUGGAUUCAAGUCCAUGUAAGUGCUGAAAAGCACUGAAUUUGAAGCUUGUUACUUAAACACGGCCCUCAGUAGACGAAACACCAUAACCUCUGACGUUUUCACUGAAGUCAGUUCCUGUACUUUACUUUCAAUGUUUGUCACUCUCUUUCUCCUUUUCUCCAUGUUUUCUCCCUGUGCUUCCUUUUUUAAGGCUGACAUCAAGAAAGAGGACAUGCCUAACCCACUAUGUUCAAAGACUGAACACUGACUGAUACAUUUCCCAGUUUUGCCUGCUGCACUAGCUCACAAAAUGUAAAUUAAAGGCAAAAAAAUCUCCUCUUCUUUUAACUAUACUCCAUAAACAUUUGGGAACUGAAGAAGCGAGUUAGAGUUUUUGUCCCUGAUUGGAAUCAAACCCAGGACCUUCUUGCUGUGAUGUGACAGUGCUGUCCACUGCACCACCCCUGAUUAGAAUCAUGUCAAACAAAGCCAUAAGCUUUGCCGAUUCAUCUUGAUUCCAUAUUUCAAAUGGUGUUGAAUAAAUCAGAGAUAAGGGAAAGGUAAAAUGACUGACAAAAGAGCAAGUAUAAGGAGUGGCUAUAAUGACCGAUUUGAAGAGUGAGCAGAGGAGACGACCACAGCCUUACACAGGAGUCAGCACUGAUGAAGGAGUUACUAAUUAGUUCAGCACACAAGGACUGGAAUGAAGGAGCUCAUCAUGUUUUAUUACCUACUUUGUAUAUGAAACAAAAGUAUAGAAGACAGGUGUAAAAAGUACUGGCAGUGCCACCGGAGUUCUCUAUAAGGUAAUUCAUUUGAAUUCUUUACAUAUAAUAAGAUAUGUCCCCUGUAGAUUCAACCACUGGGAGAGUAUUUCUGAUUUGUAUAAAUCUAAUUUUAUUGGGUUUGAUUGACUUGUGCCUAUACAACCCUAUGCUUCAAUGGAGUCUUUUGACAGGGAAUGUGGAAUAUUUCAUUAUCCUAACAUCUCAACUGAGUAAAUUAAUGUUAAGCUUCACAUAUAGUUCCUUAAAUGCAAUACACUGGAUAAAUGUGGCAAUAGGGAGACAUUUUUGAUGACUUCUAAUGUGACUGGCAGGUUUUAAAGGGAUUAGUAUCAUAUCAAAAGAUUUCAUCAACAUGUUUUUUAUAACUGAAACAGCAAAUAUGCACAGACUGUCAGCAAGGUGAGCUGAUCUUAACAGUUUUAUUUAUUCAACCUUCAUUUACCCUGGAAAGUCUCAUUGAAAAUUAAAAUGUUUUACAAGAGUGUCCUGAUGAAGGCAUAGAUUACAUGUCAGUUACAAUCACUGUUGAACCAAACAUACAAAAUAAUACAAGGUCAAAAAUGUACAAAAUAUAGAUUAGAUUAGGGAUGCAAAUUAUCAAUUAAUCCAUUAAUCAUUAGUUGGUUGAAGAGGGGCAGUUGAGAAGAAAUGGACAUUUCUGACUUUGCAUCAGUGACAUGAUGGAUGGAUGAUAUUCAACCUCAGCAAUGAAGCUUAGUGUAGGCGCCCCCUACUGUUGACACCAUGAACACCGCCGUGGGAAAGGGCAAUUAACCGAAAAUAUUGUAAUUUAAUCAACCAAAUUCUUAUCGACAAUUAAUUGAUAGUCAAUUAAUUAUUUGCAUCCCUAGAUUAGAGUUAAUUGAUCCAACAAUGAGGAAAUUCAACAGUUGAGGCAAAAACAGAAUAAAGUGCAAGAAAAAGUAUAAAGAUAGUGCAAAAAAGCAAUAUAACAUAAUAAGAACUAUACAGAUAAUAUACAUACUCACAACAUAUUGGAACAUUGGAGUGGAACUGCGUAUAUUGUCAACAGCCAGUUUUCAAAUAACAUAUCGAAAAUAACCAUGAGUCACAAUGAGCCAAAUAAAUAUUUUACCAGUCAGUCAGUAGUUUCAACCUCUGUCAUUUAAAGAAGUCCACAGGGACCAGCUCCUUCAGUUUAAGGUCAUUUGCAAAAGGUUCAAAGCAGAGGGUGCAGCAAAUUGAAAAGUCUUCUGUCAACGAAAACAAAUGCAAAUUUACAUUUUUCUCUUUUCCUACAAGACAGAAACGACAGAACUUCAAGAGGGGAUCUUAACUACCAGUACAUUGACCAAAUGACUGCAUCUGAUGCCUAAAAACUGAAGAUGAGAAGACCAACAGGCAACAGCAAGUUAUGAUGAAGGAUCCAAGGUGCCUGUACUAUCACUACAUUUUGGAUCAUAUCACCUGAGAACAAGCCAAAGUCUUUUUGGAUUACAAAACAGUCUUCAGCCCAGUGCAUCAAAUCAGGAAGAGAAAGUAUGGGGUCCUGUCAGUUCUCUCAUUUAUUCUGGGAUUAUAAGGAUGUCCUGGCCUGGUUGAUGACUGUAGAGACUACCAACAAGUUUUCUGGGCAAAAAGUGGACAUGCUGGAUGCUCCUAUUAGUCACAAGGGGUUUACAGUUGCUUGGAGGAAAGAGAAGAAGAAGUAAAAGAAAUGCAGCUCAACAUCUAAGUGUGAAAUCAUCCAACUGGAAUCUACCCAAACUACAUUGAAUCCAUAUUCCUUCCACAACAUGGAAAUGGAGAUUCAAGCAGAAGGGGAUGAAGCUCAUCAGCAGGAGGGAGGAGGACACACCACCUGGUGGACUUAUGGUCCCCUUCUGAUGGGUGUGGUUGUCGUCGUUGCCCUGCUGGAGCUGCCACUGCCUCCAUGGACAAGGAGGCCACUACUGAAGGUUCUGUCAUACCUUCUGAAGAAGAUACUCCAAACCAUCCUCAGAACACUGACAGGUUCUGAGGAAUUUACUUGCCUCAUUAUAGAUGUCACCUUUGGGGUUUUGGGAGAUCACAUUGACAUCUGAAUGAUUAUUUUCAGUUAAAUGAGCUCUGCCUCCAAAAAUAAAACUCUUUGGAUGAGCUGCUUGAAAACACUGUCUUUUC